GAGGGUAUAGCUCAGUGGUAGAGUGUGUGCCUAGCAUGCAUGAGGUCCGGGGUUCGAUCCCCAGUACUUCCA
rnacentral:tRNA from 1 species